rnacentral:snoRNA from 1 species
UUUUUAGCGAUAACUAUAAAAAUAAUUCCUCAUUUUAACUUGUUCAAUUUAGGCAUAACAGACGUCAUAUUACACCUAUAAAAUCUGAGCUAC